UACCAGCACCCCGAGUGGUCGGGACGAUUAUUGGGCCUAAAGCAUCCGUAGCCGGCCUUACAAGUCCUCCGUUAAAUCCAGCUGCUUAACAGAUGGGCUGCGGAGGAUACUAUAAGACUAGGAGGCAGGAGAGGCAAGCGGUACUCAGUGGGUAGGGGUAAAAUCCGUUGAUCCAUUGAAGAACACCAGUGGCGAAGGCGGCUCACUGGCCCGAUACUGACGCUGAGGCACGAAAGCGUGGGGAGCAAACAGG
rnacentral:rRNA from 1 species